CCUACGGGUGGCAGCAGUGAGGAAUCUUGGUCAAUGGACGAGAGUCUGAACCAGCCAAGUAGCGUGAAGGAUGACUGCCCUAUGGGUUGUAAACUUCUUUUAUAUGGGAAUAAAAUGUUCCCCGUGUGGGAUUUUGUAUGUACCAUAUGAAUAAGGCUCGGCUAACUCCGUGCCAGCAGCCGCGGUAAUACGGAGGAUCCGAGCGUUAUCCGGAUUUAUUGGGGUUUAAGGGAGCGUAGGUGGAUUGUUAAGUCAGUUGUGAAAGUUUGCGGCUCAACCGUAAAAUUGCAGUUGAAACUGGCAGUCUUGAGUACAGUAGAGGUGGGCGGAAUGCGUGGUGUAGCGGUGAAAUGUUUAGAUAUCACGAAGAACUCCGAUUGCGAAGGCAGUUCACUGGACUGCAACUGACACUGAGGCUCGAAAGUGUGGGUAUCAAACAGGAUUAGAGACCCGAGUAGUC
rnacentral:rRNA from 1 species